rnacentral:rRNA from 1 species
GCGAAUCUCAAAAAGAAUAGUCUCAGUUCAGAUUGUGGGCUGAAACCCGCCCACAUGAAGUCGGAGUUGCUAGUAAUCCCGAAUCAGCAUGUCGGGGUGAAUGCGUUCCCGGGUCUUGUACACACCGCCCGUCACGCCAUGGGAGUUGGGAGUACCCAAAGUCGGCGACCUAACCGCAAGGAAGGAACCGCCUAAGGUAAUACCAAUGACUGGGGCGAAGUCGUAACAAGGUACC